AAACCAGCACCUCAAGUGGUCAGGAGGAUUAUUGGGCCUAAAGCAUCCGUAGCCUGCUCUGUAAGUUUCCGGUUAAAUCCAUUAGCUCAACUAAUGGCCUGCCGGAAAUACUGUAGAGCUAGGAAGUGGGAGAGGUAGACGGUACUCGGUAGGAAGGGGUAAAAUCCUUUGAUCUAUUGAGGACCACCUGUGGCGAAGGCGGUCUACCAGAACACGUUCGACGGUGAGGGAUGAAAGCUGGGGGAGCAAACCGGAUUAGAAACCCCAGUAGUCC
rnacentral:rRNA from 1 species